UGGGGAGUUUCGGACAAUGGGCGAAAGCCUGAUCCAGCAAUGCCGCGUGUGUGAAGAAGGCCUUCGGGUUGUAAAGCACUUUUGUCCGGAAAGAAAUCCUUGGCUCUAAUACAGUCGGGGGAUGACGGUACCGGAAGAAUAAGCACCGGCUAACUACGUGCCAGCAGCCGCGGUAAUACGUAGGGUGCAAGCGUUAAUCGGAAUUACUGGGCGUAAAGCGUGCGCAGGCGGUUUACUAAGACCGAUGUGAAAUCCCCGGGCUCAACCUGGGAACUGCAUUGGUGACUGGCAGGCUAGAGUAUGGCAGAGGGGGGUAGAAUUCCACGUGUAGCAGUGAAAUGCGUAGAGAUGUGGAGGAAUACCGAUGGCGAAGGCAGCCCCCUGGGCCAAUACUGACGCUCAUGCACGAAAGCGAGGGAGCAAACAGGAUUAGAUACCCUGGUAGUCCACGCCCUAAACGAUGUCAACUAGUUGUUGGGGAUUCAUUUCCUUAGUAACGUAGCUAACGCGUGAAGUUGACCGCCUGGGGAGUACGGUCGCAAGAUUAAAACUUAAAGGAAUUGACGGGGUCAUAGCUGUUUCCU
rnacentral:rRNA from 1 species